CCGAGUCUUAACUGGGCGUUAAGUUGCAGGGUAUAGACCCGAAACCCGGUGAUCUAGCCAUGGGCAGGUUGAAGGUUGGGUAACACUAACUGGAGGACCGAACCGACUAAUGUUGAAAAAUUAGCGGAUGACUUGUGGCUGGGGGUGAAAGGCCAAUCAAACCGGGAGAUAGCUGGUUCUCCCCGAAAGCUAUUUAGGUAGCGCCUCGUGAAUUCAUCUCCGGGGGUAGAGCACUGUUUCGGCAAGGGGGUCAUCCCGACUUACCAACCCGAUGCAAACUGCGAAUACCGGAGAAUGUUAUCACGGGAGACACACGGCGGGUGCUAACGUCCGUCGUGAAGAGGGAAACAACCCAGACCGCCAGCUAAGGUCCCAAAGUCAUGGUUAAGUGGGAAACGAUGUGGGAAGGCCCAGACAGCCAGGAUGUUGGCUUAGAAGCAGCCAUCAUUUAAAGAAAGCGUAAUAGCUCACUGGUCGAGUCGGCCUGCGCGGAAGAUGUAACGGGGCUAAACCAUGCACCGAAGCUGCGGCAGCGACGCUUAUGCGUUGUUGGGUA
rnacentral:rRNA from 1 species